rnacentral:misc_RNA from 1 species
AACGCACAUUGCGCCCCCUGGCAUUCCGGGGGGCAUGCCUGUUCGAGCGUCAUUACACCAAUCAAGCCUGGCUUGGUAUUGGGCGACGGGGCCGUCACACGCCCCGUGCCCCAAUGACUCCCCGGCGGGACGGACUGUAUCUCAGCGUUGUGCAAAUGUCGCUGGCGAUUUACGGGACGGCCGUGCCGUGAAAACCUCAUUCAUAAGGUUGACCUCGGAUCAGGUAGGGAUACCCGCUGAACUUAA